GAUGAACGCUGGCGGCGUGCUUAACACAUGCAAGUCGAACGAAGCACUUUAUUUGAUUUCCUUCGGGACUGAUUAUUUUGUGACUGAGUGGCGGACGGGUGAGUAACGCGUGGGUAACCUGCCUUGUACAGGGGGAUAACAGUUGGAAACGGCUGCUAAUACCGCAUAAGCGCACAGCAUCGCAUGAUGCAGUGUGAAAAACUCCGGUGGUAUAAGAUGGUCCCGCGUCUGAUUAGCUUGUUGGCGGGGUAAUGGCCCACCAAGGCGACGAUCAGUAGCCGACCUGAGAGGGUGACCGGCCACAUUGGGACUGAGACACGGCCCAAACUCCUACGGGAGGCAGCAGUGGGGGAAUAUUGCACAAUGGGGGAAACCCUGAUGCAGCGACGCCGCGUGAGCGAAGAAGUAUUUCGGUAUGUAAAGCUCUAUCAGCAGGAAGAAGAAAUGACGGUACCUGACUAAGAAGCACCGGCUAAAUACGUGCCAGCAGCCG
rnacentral:rRNA from 1 species